UAUAUUAUGGCUUCCACCGGACUUUCGGUGAUUCUGCCAAUGUCAUGGUUUGAAGAGACACGAAGUUACGAAAUUGGACGGUAUACAAUCUGAAAGGAAGGUUAACAAAUGUACAAACACAAAAAGACAAACACAACAAAUGGGGAAUGUUCGUCGGAAUUAUGUUACGAAGAUGGACCACAAGUUUGGGGCAGUUGAAAAUUAUAUGAUUUAGAUUACCUUCAUCCAGGCCACAUUCACAGACAGAAGUAUCUCUAAUUCGCAGUUUAUGGAGGAAGACAGGGAUACAUACAUGGCCAAGUCGCAUUCGGAUUAUAACUGACGUUACCCACUUCUCCAAGUUUCGAUGCCGGAAGAACCAAGGGACUUUGGGGUAAUUGGAAAGUUAUCCUUUGCAUGGAAGGGUCGUUUCAAAAUAUCUUGGAGGCAGCUCAAAGAGUCUGAGAGGAUAAGUGAUUUGUCCAAAUUGUGAGAUAAAACAAAUUGAACAGCUUCAAAGAGAGCAAUGGAUUCUCCAGUAAAUAUAGAGGAUUUAGAAAAAUAUUUAAAACUUAAUAAAAGAUUGAAUUUAGGUAUCCAAACUGCUGCACCAACAUUAGAGUCCUGAGUUAAUUUGGAAGCAUCCGUAAAAAUGAGUGUCCAAUCAGACCAUUUCUCAGAAAUGAUCCGGUUGAAUAUCCUAUCAGCACCAGGAAGAUUCUUGGAAAGUCCUAUGUUUAGAAGAACAUUAGGUUGGAAGAUGAGAGGGAGGAAGUCAAUAUCAAAGAUAGGAUUUUUGGAGAAUUGGGCAACUGG